GAUGAAGAACGUAGUGAAAUGCGAUAAGUAAUGUGAAUUGCAGAAUUCAGUGAAUCAUCGAAUCUUUGAACGCACAUUGCGCCCCUUGGUAUUCCGGGGGGCAUGCCUGUUCGAGCGUCAUUAUCACCCCUCAAGCUCAGCUUGGUGUUGGGGCCUGCCCGUCACAGGGCAGCCCUUAAAAGCAGUGGCGGUGCCAUCUGGCUCUACGCGUAGUAAUACUUCUCGCGACAGAGUCCCGGUGGUGUCCUGCCAGAACCCCCCAUAUUUUUAAUGAUUGACCUCGGAUCAGGUAGGGAUACCCGCUGAACUUAAGCAUAUCAAUAAGCGGAGG
rnacentral:misc_RNA from 1 species